rnacentral:lncRNA from 10 species
CAGAAGCCCAUUGCUACUAAUUUAGUAGAACCCCCUGGCAAUAUAUACAACAUUCAAAUAUUUUACAGAGAGCUUUUUUGCAUGGUUCUCAAAAGAACAAUUUUGUGUUUGGGGAUAGGACCUCAGAAGAAGCAGUUUGUUCUAUCCUCAGGCCAGCCUUGCAGAGAUUUUUACAUUCUAUCCUGACAAAUUUGCUUGUCUGCCCCUUAUGCCCACUUCUUGUCCUUCCAGCACUGAGAUACGCAGAAGGUGCAUAAAGCUACCUUGCUUUGAGUAAACAAACUGCAAUGUUGGAAAGACCCAUGUGGCAAGAAACCUCUAUUCAACAGCCAAUGAGGAAAUGAGGCACGAAAUAUAAUCACACAAGGAACUCAAGGAACUGAAACUGGCCGGCAACCAUGUAUCUAGACAAGGAGAAGCUACACCUACACCCGACAAAAAGGAUAAAUCUUUAGUCUUCCAUCUAAGACUGAGCUAAAUGCAGAGAUCGGAUGGGAAUUUAAGUUGCCACCUAUGUAGGCAGUUUUUAAUAAAAAUGUGGAAAUUGGAGGUGGAGCGAUGUGGCUGAAUAGAAGCCUCCACUGAUUAUCCUCCCCAUAGGAAGAACACAUUUAACAACCGUCUACACAAAAAAGAAACUUCAUACGAACCAAAAAUCAGGCUUAAGAUUAUUUUAAAGCCAUAUCAACAUAUGAACACCAGUAAGAACGGAGCAUUCAGAAAUCAGACGAGAUGUAAACAACUGGUCCACCCAUACUG